rnacentral:SRP_RNA from 1 species
GCCGGGUGCGGUGGCGCGCGCCUGUAUCCAAGCUACCGGGAGGCUGAGGCUGGCGGAUCGUUUGAGCUCCGGAGCUCUGAGCUGCAGCGGACUAUGUCGAUCGGGUGUCCGCACUAAGUUCGGUAUCGAAUGGUGCUCCUGGGGGAGCCCGGGACCACCAGGUGUCUAAGGAGGGGUGGCCGGCCCAGGUCGGAAACGGAGCAGUCAAAGCCCCGUGCCGCUCAGUAUGGGAUCGCGCCUGUGAAUAGCGCUGUGCGCAGCCUGAGUAACACAGCGGGACCCAGACUUUU